rnacentral:rRNA from 1 species
AUACGUAGGGGGCGAGCGUUGUCCGGAAUGAUUGGGCGUAAAGGGCGCGUAGGCGGCGCGGUAAGUCUGGAGUGAAAGUCCUGCUUUCAGGGUGGGAAUUGCUUUGGAUACUGCCGCGCUUGAGUGCAGGAGAGGUUAUCGGAAUUCCCGGUGUAGCGGUGAAAUGCGUAGAAAUCGGGAGGAACACCAGUGGCGAAGGCGGGUAACUGGACGGCAACUGACGCUGAGGCGCGAAAGUGUGGGGAGCAAACAGGAUUAGAUACCCUGGUAGUCCACACUGUAAACGAUGAAUGCUAGGUGUAAGAGGUAUCGACCCCUUUUGUGCCGGAGUCAACACAAUAAGCAUUCCGCCUGGGGAGUACGGCCGCAAGGUUGAAACUCAAAGGAAUUGACGGG